rnacentral:rRNA from 1 species
AGAGAUGGAUUGGUGCCUUCGGGAACUGUGAGACAGGUGCUGCAUGGCUGUCGUCAGCUCGUGUUGUGAAAUGUUGGGUUAAGUCCCGCAACGAGCGCAACCCUUAUCCUUUGUUGCCAGCGGUCCGGCCGGGAACUCAAAGGAGACUGCCAGUGAUAAACUGGAGGAAGGUGGGGAUGACGUCAAGUCAUCAUGGCCCUUACGACCAGGGCUACACACGUGCUACAAUGGCAUAUACAAAGAGAAGCG